UGGGGAAUCUUGCACAAUGGGGGAAACCCUGAUGCAGCGACGCCGCGUGAACGAUGAAGCCCUUCGGGGUGUAAAGUUCUUUCGACAGGAACGAUAAUGACGGUACCGGGAGAAGAAGCUGCGGCUAACUACGUGCCAGCAGCCGCGGUAAUACGUAGGCAGCAAGCGUUGUUCGGAGUUACUGGGCGUAAAGAGUGCGUAGGCGGUUUUCUAAGUUCGGUGUGAAAUCUCCCGGCUUAACUGGGAGGGUGCGCCGAAGACUGGGAAGCUGGAGUGUGGGAAAGGCAGGCGGAAUUCCUGGUGUAGCGGUGAAAUGCGUAGAUAUCAGGAGGAACACCGGCGGUGUAGACGGCUUGCUAGACCAUAACUGACGCUGAGGCACGAAAGCGUGGGUAGCAAGCA
rnacentral:rRNA from 1 species